UCGCAAAACCAAACUGCUUACCGAUUUUUUUUAAAAAAAUUUCACUACCAAACCCAUACAUCCAAAAUGGCUCCCUGCAACUGCACCUGCUGCGCUGGUGACUGCAACUCCUGCAGCUGCACCAGCUGCUCUGUAAGUCAUACAAGAAA
rnacentral:sRNA from 1 species